AAUGUGAUUAAGAUUAAUUGGUGUUUUAAAUUGAUUUAAAAUAGUCAUCAAAUGAAGAGUUCCAAGGGUUUAAAAUUCUUCCUUCCAUGUACCACCAAACGAGUCUCACGUUGAACCAGAUUUUGUACCCAUGCCACAAUCAGUUUAAUGCCACUUCUCCACUCCCUUUUUAGCAUAUAAGAAUCCUCAUUAAACUCCCUAUUUAUCGUGUAAAAAUUGGGCUG
rnacentral:lncRNA from 1 species